rnacentral:misc_RNA from 1 species
UUUGCCCCACCAUCGCUCAAGAGGCCACGCGAAGUGCUUUGAUAUCAAUUGUAACAGCUCGGCCCACUGGCUAGUAUUGUCCACUUUGGCCUAGCCCAUACUAAGCCUCACGGAUUUGUCCCUUGGGCUUUUACACCCAAAAGCACGCUGACCAGUGUUCAAAGACCACCCAAUUUAAGUCCAGGAUCUCUCCCAUGCUUUGCCGAUGUGGUCACUUUGGUAAAGCACGGGAGAGACUUAAAUUGGGUGAUCUUGGAACACUAGUCAGCGCUCUGUUGGGUGUA